rnacentral:rRNA from 1 species
AUUGAACGCUGGCGGCAUGCUUUACACAUGCAAGUCGAACGGUAACAGGUUAAGCUGACGAGUGGCGAACGGGUGAGUAAUGCAUCGGAACGUGCCCGAUCGUGGGGGAUAACGCAGCGAAAGCUGCGCUAAUACCGCAUACGAUCUGAGGAUGAAAGCGGGGGACCGUAAGGCCUCGCGCGAUCGGAGCGGCCGAUGUCAGAUUAGGUAGUUGGUGGGUAAAGGCUCACCAAGCAAACGAUCUGUAGCUGGUCUGAGAGGACGACCAGCCACACUGGGACUGAGACACGGCCCAGACUCCUACGGGAGGCAGCAGUGGGGAAUUUUGGACAAUGGGCGAAAGCCUGAUCCAGCAAUGCCGCGUGCAGGAAGAAGGCCUUCGGGUUGUAAACUGCUUUUGUACGGAGCGAAAAGGCUCUCUCUAAUACAGGGGGCUCAUGACGGUACCGUAAGAAUAAGCACCGGCCAACUACGUGCCAGCCGCCGCAGUAA